rnacentral:rRNA from 1 species
AUUAGCUAGUUGGUAAGGUAAAGGCUUACCAAGGCAACGAUCAGUAGCCGACCUGAGAGGGUGACCGGCCACACUGGAACUGAGACACGGUCCAGACUCCUACGGGAGGCAGCAGUGGGGAAUAUUGCGCAAUGGGGGAAACCCUGACGCAGCAACGCCGCGUGGAGGAAGAAGGUUUUCGGAUUGUAAACUCCUGUCUUUUGGGACGAUAAUGACGGUACCAGAGGAGGAAGCCACGGCUAACUACGUGCCAGCAGCCGCGGUAAUACGUAGGUGGCGAGCGUUGUCCGGAAUUACUGGGCGUAAAGGGCGUGCAGGCGGUUUUUUAAGUCAGAUGUGAAAACCCGAGGCUUAACUUCGGGAUUGCAUUUGAAACUGGAGGGCUUGAGUGCAGGAGAGGUAAGUGGAAUUCCUAGUGUAGCGGUGAAAUGCGUAGAUAUUAGGAGGAACACCAGUGGCGAAGGCGACUUACUGGACUGUAACUGACGCUGAGGCGCGAAAGCGUGGGGAGCAAACAGGAUUAGAUACCCUGGUAGUCCACGCUGUAAACGAUGGAUACUAGGUGUGGGAGGUAUCGACCCCUUCCGUGCCGCAGUAAACGCAAUA